AGCUGCUGACAGCAACAAACAGACAACAGCUGAUGUUGAUGAUGAUGAUGAUGUCCCUGAACUUGUUGAGAACUUUGAUGAAGCAUCAAAAGAUGAAAAUGUUUGAGUUAUGGAUAUCCAGUGUCUCAAUGACACUCAAAAGUGUACAGCUUUUAUUUCGUAUUAAACUUAUACACAUGCACACCACAAAGACUCUGCCCCUUUGUGAUUGGUGUAGUCUGCAUUGCUGCAAAAUGGUUCAUCUGGUUUGAUAUAUGAAUGAAGAAUUCAAGUUUUGUGUAAAAGAUGUAGCAAAUGUUUGUUUUGUAAUAUCUUAUUCAUUUAGAAGUGGUAUUUUUUUUUUGUUUUUUUGUGUUGUUUGUACCAGUACUGAUGGUCCUGUAUGGUUGCAGCCAAAGGAAUUAAAGGAAUUAAACAUUUUUCUUUUCUCAGAAUUCACAAAUUUUAUUUUCUAAUUUUGUCUGAUAAUGUGUUUGAAUGGUCUGUGUUAAUGAAAGUAAUGGGAUGAUUUGCUAUUAAUAUUUUUUUUUACUACUAUUGGCAAGCAAAUUGAAAUUUGAGUGAUUAAAAAUUAGUAUCAAAGUUUUAUAA
rnacentral:sRNA from 1 species